AAAUUGGAUUUAACAAAACUGGGGUCAAACUGCCUAAAUGUGUUUUAAAAAGGAGACAUUUUAUUAAUUUGUGAAUUUCUAAAACAUCAACUGUUCAGUCGAGUAUCUUGGUCUUCUUGAACUCCAUAAGGUAAUAUAUUUAAAUAUUUAAUGUGUUUUCAUGAUUGUUAAAUGGAAAAAAAGUUUGAGAUUGCUUUAUGUCUGUGUCUUCAUUAAAAAAAGAUUAAUAAGAGUUAAGACUUUAUCAGCUGUAAUUUAUAAACCAAAAUUUGAGAAGUUUAAGAUGGGUUUCAAUUAAAGUACCCUAAAAAAGUGUUUUAUCUUAUUAAAGUGGGGGUAAUUUGUCUAAAUUUAAAAACUUCAUAAGGAUUGUUUCUAAAUGUAAAUUUAAAAAAGAGGCGAAGAUGUAUAAGAAGGUUUGUGAAGGGUAAGAGAUAUAAGAAGGUUCUAGGUAGAAAAAUAUAAAAAGUGGAAGGAAAAUGGAAAUUUAUCUAGAUAAAAGGGUCUUUUGUGGUAAACUAAAAAGUGGUAGAAUGUCAAAGUAAGUUACAGAAGAUUUGGGCAAGUUGCAAAAAGGUUAUGGAUGGUAAAUUUCAAAAAGUUUCUGUGUAACGAAUUGUUUAUAUAUAAUUAGCACAAUCAACACAAUCAGUUAAGGUUAUAAAAGGCUUUUCCUAAGAUCAAAUAUUAAUGAGCUAAUAUAAACCAAAGUUUAAUUAAUCCUCUAUGUGUUAAAGUAAUAAGGAUUUUUUAAAACAUUAAUCUACUCUUAUACAUCAAGAUAAUUUCUUAGCUCUUGCAGCUUCUGGUAAAAGAAAAAAAAAUAUCAGUCUCUAUCAUAAUCAUCAUAUUCAUUUAUUUUGUAUUAAUCUCAUUCCAGUGCUCAUGCCUUCUUGUUUCUCUUAUAAAAGUGCCCACCUCCCAACUUGUCUUUCAAACCAGAAUUUUGCCAUAGAUCCCUUGACUGACCAAAACAUUCCUAAAAGGGAAACCCAAACUGCUUGCCCUACAUUGCAUAAAGCAGCCAGAGUGGUCAUUGUUCAUUUCCCUUUACAACAGUAAGGAUUCCUUUACUCAGAGGGAAAACAAAGUACCAUGAGCUGCAAGCUCUUCUGAUCCCAGUUCCAGUACUUCAAAAUAGACAUAUAUUGGUUAUAUUUAAAAAAUAAAAAAGGGGGAGAUGUGGAGAGUGGUGAUGUGAAUCAUGGUCUCACAGCAUCAUGGUCUGGGAGCUUCAUGGCUGCUGGGAUCUUCCUAUAAAAAGGUGCAGGUCAAGAUUUCCUAGUUGCUAUGGUGAUGCUGGCUCCAGGAGACUCCAUACAAAGGUACAGAGUUGUAUCAGUUGAGUCUUUGGCCUAGGCUCAAAGGGAUAGAGAAUUCUCAACAUAGCAAGAUAACCCUAAUGUGUCCUUGUCCUGUGUCCUUCAGACUGCAUGCUUUGCUGAAACUUUAUACCACAAAUAACUUUUUGAUGAAACCCAUAUAAUAAAUAUGCUGAGCUAGCUCUGCGUUACAGCUCUUCCAUCAGAGGUCAGUGCCUACCUGGCUCAGCUUUUUCUCUCUAUUUUUCCUUCAUCCCUUGUCACACCUCAUUGGUGCUUUCCUGAAUUAGUGGAUGCAGCUGAGAUAUUCAACCAGGGCAACCACUCUAUAUCCCAUUAUUCAUGUAGUCACUGGGAGUAUGGUUUUUGUUUGAUUGAUUAUUUUUUUCCCUUUUUGUCCAGGGGAUUGAACCCAAGGGUACUUAACCACUGAGGCACAUCCCUAGCCCCCUUUUUUCUAUUUUAUUUUGAGACAAGGUUUUGCUAAGUUGCCUAGGGCCUCCCUAAGUUGUUGAGACUGGCUGUGAACUUGUGAUCCACCUGCCUCAACCUUCUGCCUGGGAUUAUAGGUGUAUGCCACUGUUCCAGGUGAUUGAUCAGUUUUGGGGGACAGGUAGUAUACCGGCGAUUGAACUCAGGGGCACUUGACCAUUGAGCCACAUUCCCAGCCCUAUUUUGUAUUUUUAUUUAGAGACAGGGUCUCACUGAGUUGCUCAGUGCCUUACUGUUGCUAAAACUGACUUUGAACUUGUGAUCCUCCUGCCUCAGCCUCCUGAGCCACUAGGAUUAUGGCCAUGUGCCAAUUUUUAAUGAAGCAAAAAUCUCAAUGUAUCAUGUGCUGCCUAAAACUCUUCAAUAAUUAUUUAAACUAAUAUGCACAAUCCUUGACAUGCCCUACAAAACAUUGAUUGAAUCUUUUUUUCUCUCUCUUCAUUACACUCAAGCCUGGUGUUGUUCCUGUGUUUAAAAGGGGUUCAGCUCUAUCAUUCUUAGGACAUAUGCAUAUUACAUGUUAUUCCUGUUCUGUACUUGAACGAUUUCCUCUUUCUUUUUUUAUUUUAUUUUAUUGUUGGUACCAGGGGUUGAACUGAGAUGUUCAACCACUGAGCUAUAUCCCCAGCCCCCCUCUUUUUUUGUAUAUUAUUUAGAGACAGGAUCUUGCUAAAUUGCUUAGAGCCUUGCCAAGAUGCUGAGGCUGACCUUAAACUUAGAAUCCUCUGCCUCGGCCUCCCCAUUUGCUGGGAAUACUGGUGUGUGCUACCAUUCUUGGCUCCCCUUUCUAAUAUCAAUAAAGUAACAAUUCCUCUUUAAGGUCAUCUUUAACAUCUUAAAACAUAAAGAUCCCCAUAUUAUUCUCUACUACAUAACUCCUCUUUCUUUUAUAGCACUUACUAGAGACUGAAGUUAUUUAAUCAUUUGGGGUUUUACUUGUUAAAAGUAAUUAUCUCCUGUGAUUUUUUAAUCUAUACCAUCGGAACUCAGAGCAUACUAUAACUACUAUAACUGGUACCUGGCAUUCAGUUGUUUCUCACAUAAAUUGAAAAAUAGAAGAAAUUAGUUAGAAUUUGUGUGAAAAAGUAAGAGCUUGUUUGUAAUUGUAUAAAAAAAAACAUACAUUUAAUGCUAAGUUAAAUAAAUAACCACCUUUUAAAAAAUCAGCCAUGUCAUUAUAUAUAACAAAAUUUAUCUGAAACAAUGUUGGUUUAAUUUGCAAACUUAUAUUUUGUUUUAUUAUUUCACUUUAAAAAUUAAAUAAACUAGGGUCAAUUAAUGUUUGCUUCUGCUCAGUUGUAAAGUCCUAAAUGAAUCAUUCAACCUGAGAAAGAGCUUUAUCAUAAACAUGAAAUAUUCAAAUAUUUAAAUCAAAUUAGAUAAUUAGAAACCAUCAAAACUUAAUUGCCAUUGACAAUGCCCAAAUACAUUUUUAAAAUAUAAAACUAAAACUUUAAUAUAAUGAAGCUAGUAAGGAGCCCUUUUGUGAGAAAUAAAUAACUCUUUUUGUUUAAAUCAUUGUUCUAUAAGAAUGUAAUCCACCUUUUGACUAUUUUAAAUCAAAUACUGAAUAUUACUGGAAAUAAAAAGUCCCUUGUGAAUGUGCAUCAUUUAUAUAUAUUUUUAAGUGGGUAGACUAGAUUUUUUUUUUCAGUUUUUCCCCUAUAUAACUAUAUUUCAAAAAGAACCAGAGGCUUCCUAGUCCUGAUCUAAUUACAGCCGAAAUCUAGUGUGGUGCUUCUUGUGUUAAAGAUAAAUCUAGUUAUCAAAGUGGCAAAGUCUGCUUGUUAUCAGUCAGUCUGCAGGCAGUCAGGAUCACAAACUUUGGCAACAGAAAUCUCAGGAUUAAAAAGCUUGAAUUACCUCUGUGAAAAAGUGAAGCUCUUUAGUGUACGUGGAAAGAAUAUGUAUCUCCCAAUUCUGCUGUGUAAACCAAAAAAUUUGAAAGCUCAAUGAACUAUAUAUAGGCGUACAUAUACAAAUCUAUAAACUGCACAUGUGUAUAUACUUGCUUGAUUCACUGUAUAUGUCAAAUGAUCACAUACCACAUGUGAAUGUGUACAUCGGAUUCACUAUAGAAUAUUCCCCAUAUACCAUUCCUUUAAAUAAACAAAAAAGUCUAGACUGUGUGUUUUCACAUGAACAAACUACUUUUUAAACACUAACAAAUCCAACACUUCUACUUUGUUACAGAGAAGAGAUGAAAACAUUUCCCAGGAGCAGUAGUUUAUGCUUUGGUCAUCUAAGGGACAGAGAUCAGUAAUUUUAAGUAAGAUUUCUUAGAUUCUAUGGCUCAUUAAUUUUAAAUCUAGUGCUUGCAUCUGUGUAUAGCUGAAAGAAUUUUAUUGAGAAAUUGGUUAACACGCUCCAUCCAAAAUAAAGUUGCCUAAGACUUCGCUAGAGGCAUAGGGUGCUGUUUUAGUUUUUCCCUUACACCUGCACACAGAGUCUGACAUUUUCAAUGUAAAACAAUAGUCCUCUAAAUAUAUGGACACUUUCCUUAAACACUCAAAUAAAAUAAAUGAACAUAAAAGGAUACUGAAUUAAAGCAGCAGUUCUCAAAUUUUUGAAUUCAUAAUACUUUCAAACAAGGACUCUAAAGAACUUUCAUCUAUAUGGGAUAUAUAUAUGUGUAUAUAUAUAUAUAUAUAUAUAUAUACAUAUAUAUGUGUAUAUAUAUAUAAAUACAUAUGUAUGCAUAUAUCUACAGAUAUUGAUAUUUAGUAUAAAUAUUUAAUAAUAAUAUAUAAUGAUAUAUUAUAUAUAAAUAUUGAGUAUAAAUAUAUUUAUUUAGUAUGAAUAAAAGAGAGGGAAAGUAAAAUAUCAAUUUAUUAAUUUCUUUUAAUAUUAUAUUAUAAAUCCAUUAUAUGUUAACAGAGAUAAUACUUGAUCAAAAACUGUAUUUUCAUUAAAAAUUAAUUAGAAGAAUAUAAUUGUUUUACAUGUAACUUAAUCACAGGGAACUGGAUUCUCAAACCUGUUUCUAAAUUCAAUACUUGGAUACAUAGUGUUUUAGUUGACAUAUGAAAAAAUUCCAAGUUGAAAUAUGAAAGCUAAAAUCAUAUCAAUAAACCAUUCAAACCCCUUUACAUUAAAACCUCUUGUUUUAUCUCUAAUGUUGACUGGAUCCCCUACCACAUAAAAUUACAUAAUUAUUGUAAUUAUGUGGAAACAUUGUCUUAUUGAAUUACACAAAUAUUUCCUUCCAAUGUUGAUAUAUUUAUUUGAUUAUAAAAUAUCAAAAAAAUCAUAUUUACUACUAUCACCACCAAUUUCACCACCAAUCUUAGCUGGGGCUAGGGUUGCAGCUCCAAAAUUUAAAAAAAAAUAAUGGUCUGUCUUAGCUCAUGAUGGCUGAUAAAAUUAUUUAUCCACUUAUUUUUCACAGAAAACCUUGAAUGUCUGAUUAAAAAUUAAUGUUAGCUGUUUUCCCAUAAGUUCAUGUUCAAAAAGUGUAAGCCAUCAGCCAAUUACUGAAGCCUCAAUAACCAUGGUUUGUUGUUUAUUCUUUAAAAUGUGUUCCAUGAACAAAAGCAGUUACUUCAGCUCAAAAACAAUACUCAAGUUUUUUUCCUGAUGGCAGAUGUCAGCUAGGCUACCAUAACAAAAUAUCACAGACUGAAUGGCUUAAACAACAGAAUUUUAUUCUCCACAGUUCUGGAGGCUGAUUCAGGAAUCAGUGUGACCCAUUUAAGGUCUGUGAGGGAAUCAGAUAACUGUUCUCUCAUGCGAAUGUAGACAGAGAGAUUUCUCUUUCUUCUUAUCAGACUGUCAUUCCAUUUUGAUUGAGGUCUACCUUAAUGAAGUUAAGUGACCUCAUUUAAACUUAAUUACCUAAAGACCCUAAUUCCAAUUAGUCACCUUGGAAGUUCUGGCUUCAAUAUCUGAAUUUUGAACAGAUGACCCUAUUCAGUCCAUAGCAGAGAUCAUCAUCAUUUGUUAUACAUAGAAAUGUUUUAUAUGAAUGAAUACUUUACCUUUUUCACAAAGAAUACUAAAACAUUGUUCUAGAAGAUACAUAUUUAAGAAGAUUGAUAAAUUUUACUGAUAGCCAAGGAAACUUUUACAUAAAGUUUCUUUCUUUAUUUCUUUUUUUUUCCUGAUGAGAAUGAUGAAGUAUAAAAUGAUUGCUAGUGUAGUCUGUCUUUCUUUCUUUCUUUCUUUCUUUCUUUCUUUCUUUCUUUCUUUCUUUCAUUUCUUACAUACAUCACAAUAGAGGAGUGCAUUACAUUCAUAUUUUUUGCAUUGAAAUUCUUAAUACACCUUUAUAACACAAUUUAUCAAAUCUCUGUUUGUAUAUAAGGUAUGUUGACACCAAAUUCACAUCUUCAUACAUGAAUUUUGUAUAAUUAUGAGGGUCUCCUUCCACUAUCCUUGCUAUUCCCAUUCUCUCUCCCUUUCCCUCUCAACCUUAUUCCCUAUCUAGAGGUAAUCUUCCUGCUUGCUCUCCCUCCCAACCCCAUUUUGAGUCACCCCUCUUAUGUCAGAGAAGACAUUUGGCAUUUGUGUUUUGGGGUUGGCUAACUUCACUUAGCAUAAUCUUCUCUAAUGCCAUCCAUUUCCCUGCAAAUGCCAUGAUCUUAUUAUUUUUUAGUGCUGUGUAAUAUUCCACUGUGUAUAAAUGCCUUGUUUUUUUCAUCCAUUCAUCCACUGAAGGACAUCUAGGUUGGCUCCACACUUUAGCUUUUGUGAGUUGUGCUGCUAUAAAAAUUGAUGUGGCUGUGUCCCUGUAGUAUGCUAGUUUUUAGGUCUUUUGGGUAUAGUCCAAGAAGAGGAAUACCUGAGUCAAAUGGUGGUUCCAUUCCCAGCUUUCCAAGGAAUCUCCAUACUGCUUACCAUAUUGGCUGCACUAAUUUGUAGUCCCACCAGCAGUGUAUGAGUGUAUCUUUUUCCCACAUCCUUGCCAACCCUUGUUGUUGUUUAUCUUCAUAAUGGCUGCCAUUCUUACUGGGGUGAAAUAGUAUAUUAGAGAAGUAGUUUUUGUUUGGACUCUCUUCAUUAAUGGCAAAGUUCCAGGAAUUUCCUUCAUUAUUGUAUUUGUGCUAUAAGCAUAAACAUCACUGCAGUACAGAGGAAAAAGAUUAUAGUGGUAUUAUGUUAAUAAUUUUGAUCUUUAAUUUCCAUUGGAAGAAUCUGGGAACCCAGAGUUCCAUAAAAAUCCUCCUUUGAAAACCACCAAAUUAAAGAAUUCAAUGAAUGAAGACAUGUUCAUGUUAAACGGAAAUGGAGGAGUUUAAGAAGAAGAGCUGGACUUCUUCUGGGACAAUUUACACUUUGAGCAUGAAAUAUGUAAAUGAAUUAACAUUACAACCCUUUAAAUGAAUAAAUAAGUGACAGAGAGGGGAAAAUUUUGUUCAAUUAAAAAAAUCUAAAUAAUAUCAAAAUCAAGAAAUGAUUGAAAAAUAUUAUAUGUGUGUGUGUAUAUAUAUACGUAUAUAUAUGUAUAUAUACAUAUAUGUGUAUAUAUAUAUAUAUAUAUAUAUAUAUAUAUACGUAUAUAUACAUACAUAUAUGAUAUUUGGUGUUGCAAAUUGAAUCAAGGGACUUGUGCCCCAUGAUUAGAAAAUCUCUAAUUUGUCAUCUACCACAAAAAUAGUUUUGGUAGCCAAAAUCCAAGAUGUCCAUUGAUUAUUCCACAUCCAGGUAGUCCCAUUGUGUGUAUACCCCUUUCAUUUGGAAUAGAGUUAUCAGUAUAAUUAAUAGAUUAUGGUAGAAAUGUGGAUGUGUAAUUCCCAUGUCUAGGAUGUGAAACACAUUGAAACUUCCACUUUGUUCUACCUUGCCUUAUUCAUUCAAGGACAAAUAUUUUCGAUUUGAAGAGAUCACACAAACAGCUCUAUGGAGAGGCCCAAGGACAAGGACCUGCAACCAUAUGCUAGCCAGUGAGGAACUGAGGCCUCCUGCAGAUAGCCACCUAGGUCCACCAUCUUGGAAGCAAAUCCUCAGCUUUCUCAAGUCUUCACAUAAGUAUAGAGUCCCAAAUGACAUCCUCACUGCCACCCUAAGAGACACUGAGUCAGGACCACCCUGUAAGGCAGCUUAAUUUUGGACCCACAGACAUUGUGAAAUUAAAAAAGGUUUUACUGUUUUAAUGUGCUGCAUUUAGGGGUUUUAUUUUCUCAUACCAACAGGUAACAAGAUAGCAAAAAUUUAUUCAUGAUAGAUUAUCAAUGGUCUAAAUCCAGAGGUAAAAAAAAUGGAAGAGAAACAAGAUAUUUACAUAAUUAUGAAGUUAUUCUCUAUAAAUGUACAUUUAUUAUAAGGAAAAAAAUAUAAACAUUAUAGGAGACAUAGGGGAGAAAGAGUAAGAAGGAGAAAGAAGAAAUGUGAAGAAGGGAGGGAUUUCACAAUUUUUCCAUAAGACUAAAAUGAUAUUUAAGUAAAAAAUAAAUAUUUGACCUAAUAAAUAGGUUAUUAUUUUACAUACCUAUUAUAAACAUCAAAAAAUGACUAAGAAUUAAAAAAAAUCCAAGUAUAUAUAUUUCAGAAAAAAAGAGUCACAAACACAAACAUACCAACUCUGGAGGCCAAUACUUGGGUGCAAAUCUCAGUAUUUUGUUUGUUUGUUUGUUUAUUUGCUUUUUAACUUAUUAACUAAAUGAUUAAGGGGAAAUUUGUGAUUUACCUGUAAGACAGAGAUAGUCUUAAUAUCUACUUCAUUGUCUUGCUGUGAGGAUUAAAUGAGCUAAGAUAUGUAGCAUAAUCAGAACUUUCCUAGUGCAUUAAAAGUGCUAUAUUCCUACAGGGUUGGUUGUUUUGUUUUUGAACAAAUAGGAGUUUUAAAUUAAAUUUAGGCAAAUGAAAAUAAACAUGUGGAACCUCAAGAAAACUAAAAGUUUCAUUGUGUCUGACCAAGAAUGCUUAGAAUGCUGUCAAUGCCCCAGGAACUACUCCUUCCAUCCACAGAAAGGGGUUCUAUCCUGGUCUGAGUAAUUCCAGCCUUACAUCUCACUUCCUUCCUUAACAGCAUUUAAGAAUGCAUGGAGCAACCAUGUAAGGACUUUAGUGUCCCAGGCUAGAUUUACUUUAGUAAUAAAUAUUUUUUUAAAAAAACCCUUUUUCCAUAAAUUCCACACAGGAGAAUCAAUACUUUAAAUUGAGUGGGAUAUUUUUAAAUAAUUCUGAAUAUUUGGAAAAUAUUUUUAUAUAAUAAUUCAUAUGCAUCUUACAGUGAGUGCAUUUUGAAGUCUUAAUUACCACAGUUAGCAUCCACAGCUGGUAAUCCAUAGCAACAGUGUUUGCCUUUUGGGGGCAAUUGUGAUCCUUAAGGAACACUCAGCAAUGUCUAGAGACUGUAUUGAUCACCAUAAACCUAGAAUGCUCUCUGUCAUCUAAUGGGAAGAAGCCAGGACUGCUGCUAAACCCAUCAGGAUAUAGAACACAACUGCCUGUGACAGAUGUGAUCAUCCCCAACUGCCAAUAGUGCUGAGCAUGACAUAAACAUUUGUAAUCCAUUGUCCCUGUAAUUCAGACUAAAAUGAGACAGUCUAAACACACUGCAUUAAAAAAGAGUCCCUAUAGUUGCCUUUGUUUUUCUUUUCCUAGAUAAUUCUUUGCUACAUGGUAUUUGUUCACAUGGUUAUUAUUUUUUUGUACAUCCCCUUUCACUUUCUUUGUAGACAAAGGGUGUAUGACAAACUUUUUCAGUUCCUCAGUGUCUUAGAAUUGAGCUUUGCAGCCAGUAAUCCUAGAUCUACUCAUAAUGAGCCAAGCAGUUAUCCUCACUGAACAUCAAUUUCCUCUUUUCUCAAAUAAGUCCAACAGGAUUAGUGGGUUUUGAACUAAUCCAUAGAACCCCUAGGCAACAUUUUAAAAUACAUCCGGGCCAAGAACAGGCUUAGCCAGGGGCUACAGACCCUCCCCACUCCUCCUUCCCUAGGAGCUGCUCUCUGUAAAUCUGGCAUCCACAUUAAUUUCCAUUUGGAUGUCUGGGUCCAAGAAAAGAGUAACAAAAUUUCAAAGCCACUGCUCCACAAAGUAAUCAAGCUCUCUUCAAACUUUAAAACAAAUUAAAACAUUGCACAGGCAAAAAUUUUAUAAGUAAGUGUUUUACAUGUGCUGCCACUUCAUUAUCAUCCUUUGGAGAUUAUCUGUAUUCACAAUUAUACUGUACCUAUUGAUACACCUGCUUAAUUUUUUCCACUGGUUAGUUGUUGCUUUUUGCAUAUUAAAAGGCAUGGGAGGUUGAAGGUGUUGCUUAGUGGUACAGCAUGUGCUUAGCAUGCAGGAGAUUCAAUCUUCAACACCAUAAAUCAAUAAUACCCUGGGAACUAGCAUGCAUGUGUAAACCCUGCAAAUUAUCAAACUGAGGUAGAAGGUUUCUAAGCCAGCCUGGGCAAUAUAGUGAGACCCCCCCUACCUAUAAAUAAAUAAAUAAAUAAAUGAAUAAAUAAAUAAAUAAAUAGAAAAAAGAAAAAGAAAAGAAAGAAAGAGGCAAGAGGAGAAUUCUACAUAUCAACAGAUAAUUGUGAUUAAAAAGGUGACAGUGUUUUGAGUAAUCCAUGUGACGAUGAAAGCAUCUAACAGAGUCCAGGACCUGGAUAAGUUAUCGGGGCUCUUUUUGAACUUGCAAUGAUCCUCUUUUAUCCUCCUGAGUCUGAGAUUAUAGGAUGAACUAAUAAGCCUGGCCCAGAAAUUUCUGAUAUAUAUUAUUCUGGUUUUAAAACGUUGUUAAUUUAUUUAACAACGUUUUAAAAUGCAGGAUAGGCCACAGGGUGCUGUAACUCAUACCUGUAAACCUAGAGGCUCAGGAGGCUGAGGCAGGAAGAUUGCAAGUUCAAAGUCAACCUCAGCAACUUCACAAGGACCUAAGCAAUUUAGAGAGACCCUGUCUCAAAAUAGAAAAAUAAAAAGGACUAGGGAUGUAGCUCAGUGGUUAAAUGCCUCUAGGUUCAAUCCCUGGUACCAAAAAAAUAGAAUUAAAAAAAAUACAAUAUAGGCCAAACCAAACACAGCAGCAGGUCAUUGAUUGGCAAAGACAGGAUUGCCAGUUUGAAACAUCAGAAUUUGGAAUCAUCUUUAACCACUUUUUAGAAAGUUAGAUUAUGCUUGUUGUCAUCUUCUACUAACAAUAAUCUUAUAAGUUUUUUUAAAUGAUUUCAUUAUAAUGUAGUCAUGUUGAUUGGUAGAGAAAGUAAAGAAUUGGAAAAGAAUUCAAUAUAGAAGCAAAAUCAGAAAUGAAUUUCUUUUUUUUCUUUUCUUUUCUUUGAGAACGUGGACUUAAAUGCAUAUCAUUUUUAUUUUUUCCUCUAAGGCUAAGUUAUUGGUAUGAACAGCCAAAGAAUUAUGACCCCAUCUUUAUAUCCACUUCUGGCAAAGAACUGAAAUGCUUCUCUAACAAAGAUUCCUCUUCCUCAGGAACUGCUCGGUGACCAUCAAAAUGAGUUUUGAAUUCAGGGCAAAAUCAUUAGGCUGUAAAAAACAAAUUCUUACUUCAUUUUUAUUCCUUUGUUCAACUUUUCAGUUCUGAGUUGUAGAUUACAAUAGCACAUGUGGAAAAAAAAUGUAAUUCUAUUCACAGGCAAUGAAUUGUUUUAUAUCGUCUAGAGUGGGAUAUACAUAUUUUUGCUAUAAAAGAAAAAAAUACAGAUUAUAGCUUUACUAUUUAGGCUUUGUAAGAAUCAGCCACAAAUGAACAAUAUAUUAAUCAAUAUAUCUAGCAACUACAUCUAAAAUAAGAAAAUCUACCCAUAAUAAUUACCCCUGGUAGGUUGUUUAAGAUAUGAAAUACAGCAGAAAAAAAUGUUGAUUGAUUGCUAUGAAUUUUUGGCAGAUGUAACCUUUGAAGCUUGAAAUGCAUUAGCAUUGUCUCCUAAUUCCUCAAAUAAUUGCCCUGAGUUGAUGUUGUAUUAUGAAAAAGGUGCUCAAUUUAUUCAUAAAACUGCUAGUGGCUGAACAAUUUUACAUGUAUAAAUAAAAUGACCUUCUAUCUUUUUUCAAUCAACACUUAAUCAAAGAACAAUGUCAGAAAUAACUUGCCCCAUACAUAACUGAGAAAAUUGUAAUUUUUUUUCUUCUAAUGUGUUUUUCUUAAUUUUUCUAAUUAGUUAUACAUGACAGCAGAAUGCAUUUCAACCCGAUCUACACAGAGGGAGCACAACUUUUUCUUUCUUUUGCAGUCACACCAUUAGUGCAAUAAUACAUGUACAUAGGGUAAAAAUGGCUAUCUCAUUUCACCCUCAAUAAAGGUGUAAUUGAUGCUUAUUUGAGAUAUUUUUGUCCUUUACAAAUUAUUAGAAAUAAUAAGCUUCCAGUUAAAUUUAUUGCAUCAUAAUUACAAUACAGAGUUUUUCGUGUUUAAGGAUAAUAGUCAUCUAUUAAAGGAAAACAGAAUAAUGCUUCUUAGGCACUGCAUCUGGGUUAUUAGGUGAAACUAAAUUUCUUUUGUCCUAAUAAUUAAGUGAUAUUCAGAGCAAAGUGACAAAAUGACAGAAUUCAUUGCCCAGCGGGAGAAUUUUCUUUUGAGGUUUCCUUGAAUAUAAACAAAUGGGAAAAAAUUAAUGGCUUAUUUUAUCACAGGAAAGUUUAUAUCAUUUCUAUGUUUUGGAUACUUGCCAUGUUGUUUUGCUACCUACUCUUUCUCAUCACUUACGCAUAGGGAAUGAAUCUAAAUAUUUUAUAGUUUCAUGAAAUUCUUCAACUCUAGUUGAUGGCCUUUCUCAAGCAUGAUACAUCAAGAUGACAGUGUUUGAAGGUUUAAUCAUUACAUGAAAAUACCAAGGGCUGUACCCCAAAACAGGCUGACAUCUAUCAUCUCAUUUACUGUCUUUGAACCACACUCUAAAAUUCCAUAGAUAGUAUUUUUCACCAAAACAGGAAGUGAUAAUCAGACUCAGAACCCAGAUUCAACCUCAGUUGCAUUCUGCUUCCAUGACCUGUGUGUUUUUGUGUUCUACAUUAUUGUAAUUAUUAUUUACAAAUUUCUGUUAGACCUUUUAGAAAAUUAAAAUGUUGAAAACUUUGUUCGGAGCAUGUUUUUUUUUGUUUUUGUUUUUGUUUUUGUUUUUUUAAUAGGAAAGACAGAUUGACAGAGGGAGAACUUACACUGGAGAACUGUAAAUCUCUAUAUAAGCCUUCAUGCAGGUUUUACACCUCUGAAGGCCAUACCUUUGAGAAGCCAGGGAUACACCAAACUGAAAUGGUCUAACUCAGGCCUGAGAGAACAUCCACAGGAGGUCAUGAAAUCUGAGCCUGUCUAUGACUCAUCUUCAUCCUAAUGUAAAGAAAUUACAAUCAAAUGAAAAAAAUGUCAAAACAGUCAAUCAAAGUGAUUUUUAAGAAAUACAUUAAAAGGAGCCACAUCGUGCAUAUGGUGGCUAGAUCACCAAUAUAUCCUAUUCAGUAAGU
rnacentral:lncRNA from 1 species